ACCCAGAACUAUUAGUUUGAAAGGAAGUUAGAGUAAGUAGUUUUGUAGACCAGCAAAUGAAAAUGGAAAUCUAUUCACGACACACCAAUGUGAUCUUGCGUUAGAUUUUCCCCUAUUCACUGUUAGUAGGGAACUGGGAAGUGGAGUGGGAAGGACACAUCGGAGAGACUCCCAAGGAUUCAUUCAAACAGAUGACUACCUGCUGCUUCACUUGGACCAAAAUGAUAAUGACAGAAGCAACCCAAGAAGCAUUGUCUAAGAAUAAAAAGUCAUGGGAGAGAAACUAUAGGCAAUAAGGACGCAGAUCAUGUUUUCCUCAUGGAUAUCCAUUAAAGUUCAGGAGGAGGCGGGGUGAAGAAAUGGCAAAGCAAGGCCAAGAAGGAAGCUACCAAGGCAAGCAAUCUGGUAUCAUUAAUGUAAGAGCUGUCAAGAAUCUAGCUUGUAAUAACUGGAACAAACAGAGCCUUUUCUGGGACGGAACCUAAAGAUUCAGCAGCAAGCAGGAAAAUGACAUUUACAUUGAGAUAUAAAUUGCAGACAGUGACACUAGUCAUUUAUGAAAGAUGGGUUUAUUUUGGUUGUGGGAAAAAUAAGUUGAAACCCUAUACUUUAUUUUCAAUGGCAAGUCCCAUCACAAUCCAGUUCAAAUUGUGGCCUGUACCUGACACAUCCAGGGCAUUUUUGGUGUUAAAAUGUGCUUGUUAAUACAGGGAAACAGGAAGCCUGCAUAAAAUGAAAACCAAAUAAGAUGAAGGAUUUGUAAAUUCUGUCAGGAAAUCCAUUGCUCCUAGUGCAUCUUGAAUUAUUUGCAUCAGAAUCACAACCAGGGCUGAGAAGAGAUUUUGGCUAAUGGAAUUAAGAAAAUAUGGCCUAGUCAAUGAACUGAAAACUGGCCAGAAUUGGAAAGGACUAGGACUGAGUUGUACCUCUGCUUCUUGCUGGCUAUGGGGCUCUGGCCAGUUCUAUUCACCAGCAAGAGCCUCUGGCAACUCCUGAAAUCAUAAACUGCAGAACUCACAUGGAUAGAGGGGAGUUUCCUUACUGGAGGUGCCCAUUAACAAUGAAAUCAUGUCCAUUUUACAAAUAAAUAAGAAUUCGC